AUAUUAUUUUGGAAAAAGCAUUCUUUCCAAGGUUUCUAAUUUAUAAUAUAUAUAUUAAAAUUGUUGAAAUGCAAGUAACAUGUACAAUUAUUAUUUUUCUAGAUGAAGAACGUUUCCAUGAAGAUCUGAAGCGAGGCUUUUCAUGUGAUUCUUAACCGAAGCAAUAACUGCAAGGAUCUCCUUGAGGAUCUCGAGAUCGAUUCCGACUAUUCUUUGCAGACUCGCUAGGAGAUCGUGUUCUAGCUUUUCUAUCGGUUCACGGCAUUACUGUUUGUUUAUUUUAAGUCCCAGGCGUAUCUUGUUUCGGAACCAGACCCAGCUGACCGCAACCCGGCAUCGUUUUCUCGUUUUAUUCUCUUGCGUUACGCUUGCGUCUCGUUGGUGCGAAUUAAUCGUGAAAAAUCAAACUAACCAGUCGUUCUGAUAUGUUUCUUUUUAAUUCACGCAAACACCUCCGUUGACCGCUAAUUAUCAGGUGCUAAAUGAAAUCUAUAUUUACGUUUCAUCAUUUUAUAAAUUAAUUGAACCAUCAGGCUUGGCGUAAAUAUUAUUUAUAAAAUAAAUAAUUUCAGGUUGAUUCAACGGUGGAAUGGUUUCAUUUGAAGCGCGUCAGGACGCCUCGUGCCGCUAGCCUCGCAUCGAAAUCCCCAAGCCACCCUCGACAAACGAUGCUGCUGCAAAUUCUAUAAUUCCAGAUCCAUCUCGGUGACCCAAUACCAAGGAUAUGGCGUGACAAACAUGUCCUUUCCAGUUAAAAAAAAAGAAUCUCCUUAAGGAAGCCCGUAGGAAUCGUAUUCCGGUCACCAGGCACACACGCACACGGGGGAUCGUCGAUGGAUCCCGGAAGCGGAGGAAUAAUCAACGGCGAUCGCGCACUAGGACCGCGACGAGUCGACGCCGAGGGUCGCGGCGGGUCUCACCCUGAUGGAUCUACCAGGACGACGUAAACUACGCGCGGAAUGGUGAAAGACGUAUGGAAAUGGAAGGGAAGAAAAGACGAACGAGUAGCACAGAAGGUUUCCAACGGCAUGGGACUUCGGCCACGACUGAUCGAGUGUCCGAGGGGGUAGCAUUGAAUACAAUGGCUCAAUUAUGAAGAAGAAUUUUCUUGUUUUACUUUUGCUGGAAUCUGAAGAGGGAACCUGCGUGUAUCAAGCGUCAGUUUAGUAAGUUGCGUAUCAAAGAAACUGCAAGCAAUUUUACCAAGUGAUUUCGAUUGAAUAGUGUCUGAAAUACCCGGAUCUGUUCCCGUCCCCUUCCUCGGGACGUUCAAAGAACCCCCUCCCUCUUCACGUUCUUUUGGUUCGAGCAAAAUGUUCCCGUAUGACGGGGAACAACGAUGAGACGAUGCUCUUGUACCCGGUUCUCCCCCCCCCCCCUCUUUUUCGCCUAAUGUUCUUACUCCCCCUGAAUCUCACCAGCACCCCGCUUCAAUACUAAGCUUGGCAAUAAACUUUCUUUGUUUUUGCUCGCUCCUUUCAAUCUGUCGCGUACCCCGUUCAUUGUUAACCCGAUUCGAGGUAAUUAACUUCUCUGUUUGUUGCAGCUUUUGAAACGCGAACGCGGUAAGGAUUAGCAUUCGAGGAAUUUCUUCAUUUGAUCUAUUUAAUCUCUGGCUUUGAAAUUCCACCGACUUCCGGCUGUAUCAAGGAAGUAUUAUUUCUUCUUGUUCCCUUCAAAGGAAUAUUUUACAUUUUCUUCAGCUUCUCUGGGCAAGGAAUUUUUAUUGAGUUUAAGGGUAGUUUUAUUGUUUCAAUGAAAAUGAAUAAGGAAAGUAUUUUUAUUUUAUUACAGUUGAUCUGAAUGUUGAAAAGUGGGUAGUAAAAAUUAGCAAGAAAGUAUUCAAUCCCUGGCUAUUGAAUUAGGACUAGGGAAAAUUGAAAAAUUUCCAAUAUAGGGAAAAUUAUCUUACAAGGGGAACUACCCAAGUGUUACACUCACUUAUUAAUGAAACUUUGCCAGCUUGUAGAGCUCGUCGAGCUGAAC